AUUGAACGCUGGCGGCAUGCUUUACACAUGCAAGUCGAGCGGCAGCGCGGGGGCAACCCUGGCGGCGAGCGGCGAACGGGUGAGGAAUACAUCGGAACGUGCCCCGGAGUGGGGGAUAACGCCGCGAAAGCGGCGCUAAUACCGCAUAUGCUCUGAGGAGGAAAGCGGGGGACCUGCAAGGGCCUCGCGCUCUGGGAGCGGCCGAUGUCCGAUUAGCUAGUUGGUGGGGUAAAGGCCUACCAAGGCGACGAUCGGUAGCUGGUCUGAGAGGAUGAUCAGCCACACUGGGACUGAGACACGGCCCAGACUCCUACGGGAGGCAGCAGUGGGGAAUUUUGGACAAUGGGGGCAACCCUGAUCCAGCCAUGCCGCGUGCGGGAAGAAGGCCUUCGGGUUGUAAACCGCUUUUAGCCGGGAAGAAAAGGCGUCCACUAACACUGGGCGUUCUUGACGGUACCGGCGGAAUAAGCACCGGCUAACUACGUGCCAGCAGCCGCCGUAACAC
rnacentral:rRNA from 1 species